rnacentral:rRNA from 1 species
UACAGAGGUGGCAAGCGUUAUUCGGAUUUACUGGGCUUAAAGAGUUCGUAGGCGGCGCAGAAAGUAGGGUGUGAAAGCCCUCGGCUCAACCGAGGAAUUGCGCUCUAAACUACUGUGCUUGAGGACCUAGAGGUGAGCAGAACUGAUGGUGGAGCGGUGAAAUGCGUAGAGAUCGGAAAGAACACCAACGGCGAAAGCACUCUGCUGGGCCGACACUGACACUGAGAGACGAAAGCUAGGGGGAGCGAAUGGG